rnacentral:rRNA from 1 species
AGAGUUUGAUCAUGGCUCAGAUUGAACGCUGGCGGCAGGCCUAACACAUGCAAGUCGAACGGUAACAGGAAGCAGCUUGCUGCUUUGCUGACGAGUGGCGGACGGGUGAGUAAUGUCUGGGAAACUGCCUGAUGGAGGGGGAUAACUACUGGAAACGGUAGCUAAUACCGCAUAACGUCGCAAGACCAAAGAGGGGGACCUUCGGGCCUCUUGCCAUCGGAUGUGCCCAGAUGGGAUUAGCUAGUAGGUGGGGUAAAGGCUCACCUAGGCGACGAUCCCUAGCUGGUCUGAGAGGAUGACCAGCCACACUGGAACUGAGACACGGUCCAGACUCCUACGGGAGGCAGCAGUGGGGAAUAUUGCACAAUGGGCGCAAGCCUGAUGCAGCCAUGCCGCGUGUAUGAAGAAGGCCUUCGGGUUGUAAAGUACUUUCAGCGGGGAGGAAGGGAGUAAAGUUAAUACCUUUGCUCAUUGACGUUACCCGCAGAAGAAGCACCGGCUAACUCCGUGCCAGCAGCCGCGGUAAUACGGAGGGUGCAAGCGUUAAUCGGAAUUACUGGGCGUAAAGCGCACGCAGGCGGUUUGUUAAGUCAGAUGUGAAAUCCCCGGGCUCAACCUGGGAACUGCAUCUGAUACUGGCAAGCUUGAGUCUCGUAGAGGGGGGUAGAAUUCCAGGUGUAGCGGUGAAAUGCGUAGAGAUCUGGAGGAAUACCGGUGGCGAAGGCGGCCCCCUGGACGAAGACUGACGCUCAGGUGCGAAAGCGUGGGGAGCAAACAGGAUUAGAUACCCUGGUAGUCCACGCCGUAAACGAUGAUUACUAGGUGUUGGAGGAUUGACCCCUUCAGUGCCGCAGUUAACACAAUAAGUAAUCCACCUGGGGAGUACGACCGCAAGGUUGAAACUCAAAGGAAUUGACGGGGGCCCGCACAAGCGGUGGAGCAUGUGGUUUAAUUCGAUGCAACGCGAAGAACCUUACCUGGUCUUGACAUCCACGGAAGUUUUCAGAGAUGAGAAUGUGCCUUCGGGAACCGUGAGACAGGUGCUGCAUGGCUGUCGUCAGCUCGUGUUGUGAAAUGUUGGGUUAAGUCCCGCAACGAGCGCAACCCUUAUCCUUUGUUGCCAGCGGUCCGGCCGGGAACUCAAAGGAGACUGCCAGUGAUAAACUGGAGGAAGGUGGGGAUGACGUCAAGUCAUCAUGGCCCUUACGACCAGGGCUACACACGUGCUACAAUGGCGCAUACAAAGAGAAGCGACCUCGCGAGAGCAAGCGGACCUCAUAAAGUGCGUCGUAGUCCGGAUUGGAGUCUGCAACUCGACUCCAUGAAGUCGGAAUCGCUAGUAAUCGUGGAUCAGAAUGCCACGGUGAAUACGUUCCCGGGCCUUGUACACACCGCCCGUCACACCAUGGGAGUGGGUUGCAAAAGAAGUAGGUAGCUUAACCUUCGGGAGGGCGCUUACCACUUUGUGAUUCAUGACUGGGGUGAAGUCGUAACAAGGUAACCGUAGGGGAACCUGCGGUUG